rnacentral:rRNA from 1 species
GAUGAACGCUGGCGGCAUGCCUAAGACAUGCAAGUCGAACGAAGUGGCCCAAUGAAGUGGAGUGCUUGCACAAAGCGGAUUUGGAUUCCCACUUAGUGGCAGACGGGUGAGUAACACGUGGGUAACCUGCCAAAGAGACUGGGAUAACAGUUAGAAAUGACUGCUAAUACCGGAUGAUUCAUAACUACACAAGUAGAUAUGCUAAAAGGAGCGUUUGCUUCACUCUUUGAUGGGCUUGCGUUGUAUUAGCUAGUUGGUGAGGUAAUGGCCCACCAAGGCAACGAUGCAUAUCCGGGCUGAGAGGCUGAACGGACACACUGGGACUGAGACACGGCCCAGACUCCUACGGGAGACAGCAGUGGGGAAUAUUGCACAAUGGGGGAAACCCUGAUGCAGCGACGCCGCGUGGAGGAAGAAGGUCUUCGGAUUGUAAAACUCCUGUUGUUGGGGAAGAUAAAUGACGGUACCCAACAAGGAAGUGACGGCU